UUAAUAGAAAAAUAUAAUCGUUGCAGUCAGCAGUCUAUGAAUGAUAUAACAAGGGGUUAUUCUAUUGUAUGGUAAUUACCUAAAUGUAGCUACUUACGCCAUCGCAUAAUCUGUUAAACACUACGUGUUCCGAAAUCGCUUGGUUCUACACGUCAUCCCAUAUCUGCUUAUACACUAAAAAAAGUUAUAUUUUUAUAAGCCCGGUCCCAAUAACCACCACUAUUUUUAUCUUUGCUGACUUACUCUUGGCCUACUGGACUUUGGCUCACUUAAUUAUUACUCACGUAUCCAUGGUUCCGUAAGUUAUAACCCCCUGGAUUAUAUUUUGCAUUAUAGGCGAACAGACGUGGGUACCGGUAUGCUUUAAAUUUCUUAUAUUUUUCUUUCUUUGCAUUCCAACAAAUUUGUUAGCAAUCGGCUCCAGCAUUUCAGAAUAUUUAAUCCGGUUUACUACGUGGUAUUAACCGGACUUUCGGCAAUACGCCUUUUAUAAUUUAAAUACCGUAAUCUAAAACUGCUCUUAUUAUAUUUUGUUCAAAUUAUAAACUAUUUAAAAAUUUAUAAUAUUACAACCAGCAUUAUCUUUACCUACCCAAUUACAUCCGCUUUAAAUAUUAUUAAUGGAAGAAGUAAAUAUAAGUAUAUUAUUAGUUUUCAACGACUUUUAGUUUAAAUUAUAAAUAGUAACUUUAGCCCUAACAGUGGGAAAUUCACCAGUUAAAUUUCAUAUAAUUAAAUAUUAACAUCCUAAUUAAUAUUUUAUUGCACAGCGAGUAAUAAAUUAUAUAAAUUUAUCGUUGACCCGCCGACAAACUGGAAUUUGCUUAUACCUAUUCCCGACAAGAGUACUUUUUAUACGUUUUAAAUAUGUUUGCAACUAUGCGGCUGGACGUAUAAUAAUAUUAAAGUUAUCCCCGUCGAAUUUACCCGCCAUUUAGCCCCUCCCGUAUUUAAAAUUUAACAGAUUAUCCAAUCGGCUUUUCUUAUAAUUAUCAACUGCUAUCCGGCCAAAACAAUUCCCCCUAAUAAUAUUUCUCGAAAUAAUAAAUAUAAUUAAUAAUUGCAAUUUUAUUAGGAGAAAUUCCAAGAUUAGUAAAGUUUAGGUUACAGUUAUUAUAUAAUAUUUCCACUGGGCUUUUGUUUAUUUAUUUAUUAUAAAUAUCCUUUAAUAUUAAAUUAGAUAUAAUUAACCUGUUAUUAAAUGUAAUCCAAAAUAUAAUUAAUUACAAUGGUAUUUAGCGAAGACCAUCCCUUGCUACCAUAUAUAUAUAUAUUACGGAU
rnacentral:sRNA from 1 species